rnacentral:rRNA from 1 species
AGUGAACGCUGGCGGUAGGCCUAACACAUGCAAGUCGAACGGCAGCACAGUAAGAGCUUGCUCUUACGGGUGGCGAGUGGCGGACGGGUGAGGAAUACAUCGGAAUCUACUUUUUCGUGGGGGAUAACGUGGGGAACUUAACCCAAUUCCCCAUACGGCCUUCGGGUUGAACCAGGGGACUCUUCGGCCUUUGCCCGUUUAAGUGGCCGAUGUCGGAUUAGCUAGUUGGCGGGGUAAAGGCCCACCAAGGCGACGAUCCGUAGCUGGUCUGAGAGGAUGAUCAGCCACACUGGAACUGAGACACGGUCCAGACUCCUACGGGAGGCAGCAGUGGGGAAUAUUGGACAAUGGGCGCAAGCCUGAUCCAGCCAUACCGCGUGGGUGAAGAAGGCCUUCGGGUUGUAAAGCCCUUUUGUUGGGAAAGAAAAGCAGCAGGUUAAUACCCCGCUGUUCUGACGGUACCCAAAGAAUAAGCACCGGCUAACUUCGUG